rnacentral:misc_RNA from 1 species
UCCGGCUUAUCACCGGCAGUCCCUCUAGAGUGCCCAACUAAAUGAUGGCAACUAAAGGCGAGGGUUGCGCUCGUUGCGGGACUUAACCCAACAUCUCACGACACGAGCUGACGACAGCCAUGCAGCACCUGUGCAGGCUCCCGAAGGAGCACCGGCUUUCACCGGUUUCACCCUGCAUGUCAAGCCCUGGUAAGGUUCUUCGCGUUGCGUCGAAUUAAGCCACAUGCUCCACCGCUUGUGCGGGCCCCCGUCAAUUCCUUUGAGUUUCAGCCUUGCGGCCGUACUCCCCAGGCGGGGCACUUAAUGCGUUAGCUCCGGCACGGACAGAAUGAACUGCCCACACCAAGUAUGCAUCGUUUAGGGCGUGGACUAC